UGGGGAGUGGUGCAACUGGUAGCACAACGGCCUUUGGAGCCGUAUGUUCCAGGUUCGAGUCCUGGCUCCCCAGCCA
rnacentral:tRNA from 1 species